rfam:Equus caballus chromosome 20, whole genome shotgun sequence.
GGGGAAUUAGCUCAAGUGGUAGAGCACUCGCUUUGCAUGUGAGGGGUAGUGGGAUCGAUGCCCACAUUCUCCA